rnacentral:rRNA from 1 species
UGCAAGUCGAACGAGUUCUGAUUAUUGAAAGGUGCUUGCAUCUUGAUUUAAUUUUGAACGAGUGGCGGACGGGUGAGUAACACGUGGGUAACCUGCCCUUAAGUGGGGGAUAACAUUUGGAAACAGAUGCUAAUACCGCAUAAAUCCAAGAACCGCAUGGUUCUUGGCUGAAAGAUGGCGUAAGCUAUCGCUUUUGGAUGGACCCGCGGCGUAUUAGCUAGUUGGUGAGGUAACGGCUCACCAAGGCAAUGAUACGUAGCCGAACUGAGAGGUUGAUCGGCCACAUUGGGACUGAGACACGGCCCAAACUCCUACGGGAGGCAGCAGUAGGGAAUCUUCCACAAUGGACGCAAGUCUGAUGGAGCAACGCCGCGUGAGUGAAGAAGGCUUUCGGGUCGUAAAACUCUGUUGUUGGAGAAGAAUGGUCGGCAGAGUAACUGUUGUCGGCGUGACGGUAUCCAACCAGAAAGCCACGGCUAACUACGUGCCAGCAGCCGCGGUAAUACGUAGGUGGCAAGCGUUAUCCGGAUUUAUUGGGCGUAAAGCGAGCGCAGGCGGUUUUUUAAGUCUGAUGUGAAAGCCCUCGGCUUAACCGAGGAAGUGCAUCGGAAACUGGGAAACUUGAGUGCAGAAGAGGACAGUGGAACUCCAUGUGUAGCGGUGAAAUGCGUAGAUAUAUGGAAGAACACCAGUGGCGAAGGCGGCUGUCUGGUCUGUAACUGACGCUGAGGCUCGAAAGCAUGGGUAGCGAACAGGAUUAGAUACCCUGGUAGUCCAUGCCGUAAACGAUGAAUGCUAGGUGUUGGAGGGUUUCCGCCCUUCAGUGCCGCAGCUAACGCAUUAAGCAUUCCGCCUGGGGAGUACGACCGCAAGGUUGAAACUCAAAGGAAUUGACGGGGGCCCGCACAAGCGGUGGAGCAUGUGGUUUAAUUCGAAGCAACGCGAAGAACCUUACCAGGUCUUGACAUCUUUUGAUCACCUGAGAGAUCAGGUUUCCCCUUCGGGGGCAAAAUGACAGGUGGUGCAUGGUUGUCGUCAGCUCGUGUCGUGAGAUGUUGGGUUAAGUCCCGCAACGAGCGCAACCCUUAUGACUAGUUGCCAGCAUUUAGUUGGGCACUCUAGUAAGACUGCCGGUGACAAACCGGAGGAAGGUGGGGAUGACGUCAAAUCAUCAUGCCCCUUAUGACCUGGGCUACACACGUGCUACAAUGGAUGGUACAACGAGUUGCGAGACCGCGAGGUCAAGCUAAUCUCUUAAAGCCAUUCUCAGUUCGGACUGUAGGCUGCAACUCGCCUACACGAAGUCGGAAUCGCUAGUAAUCGCGGAUCAGCACGCCGCGGUGAAUACGUUCCCGGGCCUUGUACACACCGCCCGUCACACCAUGAGAGUUUGUAACACCCGAAGCCGGUGGCGUAACCCUUUUAGGGAGCGA